GGGUGUGAGGGUGAUCUAGCUGUGACAUCUGUCACCCCAUUGAUUGCUAGGGUUGAUUCAGCUGACCUGGCUGGCCAGGCAAGUGUCCCCUUCCUCCCUCACUGCUCCAUGUGCGUCCCUCCGGAAGCUGCACGCUAGGUCAAAGAGGACAACCACCUCCGAUAGAGGAGGACGCUUUCCUCAGUCAAGGGUGUACAAAUAACUGUGCUCCCCUGCUAGAACCUCCAAACACUCUCAAAUACUAUUCCUUACACAGGAAACUAAAGACAGAAGCCAGAAAAGCAUCAGAUAUUUUGAAAAGAGUCAAGUGGUC
rnacentral:snRNA from 1 species